GCUUGAGAUAGCUAGAGUCGGAGGUACCGAUAUUGUAUUCUUGUUGAAUACGGUUUAGUAGAUUUGAAUUCUCAAGUAUGAGCUUGAAGAGUGGAUGUAGGUGCAAGGUUAGCACUGAACUACUAUAAAUCUUGUUUGUUUGUGUUGUGCUUACUUGCUCUCUUUCUAAAUUUUCUUAUCUACUUGCAUUCUUGCAUCUAAUUUCUACACCUUGCUUAAAUCACUCUCUACAUAUAUCCUGCUCAU
rnacentral:lncRNA from 1 species